rnacentral:siRNA from 1 species
CAAACUGUCAUCGUCCGUACUGC